rnacentral:rRNA from 1 species
CGCGUCGGAGGCAUAGGUUACAAGCAGACGGAUCUUCGGGAUUAGUGGCGGACGGGUGAGUAUGGAACGUGCCCUUUGGUUCGGAACAACUCAGUGAAACUUGAGCUAAUACCGGAUGUGCCCUUCGGGGGAAAGAUUUAUCGCCAUUGGAGCGGCCCGCGUCUGAUUAGCUAGUUGGUGAGGUAAAGGCUCACCAAGGGCGACGAUCAGAUAGCUGUGUCAUCAGAGUGAUGAUCAUGCCACAAUUGGUGACUGAUGACACUGGCCACAAAACUCCCUACGUGGGAGUGCACGCAAGCUGGUGUGAAAUCUAUGCCCGCAACAUGGUGCUGAAACGCCUCGACGCAGCCACUGCCGACGUGACAUGACUGAAGUGGUCUUAAGG